CACCAGACUCCUACGGGAGGCAGCAGUGGGGAAUAUUGCACAAUGGGGGGAACCCUGAUGCAGCGACGCCGCGUGGGUGAAGGAGCACCUCGGUGCGUAAAGCCCUAUCGGCAGGGAAGAAAAGCGAACAGGUUCGCCUGGACGGUACCUGACUAAGAAGCCCCGGCUAACUACGUGCCAGCAGCCGCGGGAAUACGUAGGGGGCAAGCGUUAUCCGGAUUCACUGGGUGUAAAGGGGGCGCAGACGGCGAUGCAAGCCAGGAGUGAAAGCCCGGGGCCCAACCCCGGGACUGCUCUUGGAACUGCGCGGCUGGAGUGCAGGAGGGGCAGGCGGAAUUCCUGGUGUAGCGGUGAAAUGCGUAGAUAUCAGGAGGAACACCGGUGGCGAAGGCGGCCUGCUGGACUGCGACUGACGUUGAGGCCCGAAAGCGUGGGGAGCAAACAGGAUUAGAUACCCCUGUACU
rnacentral:rRNA from 1 species